UGUCAGGUUGUCAGGCUGUUGAGUUGC
rnacentral:piRNA from 1 species